AAUGAAACUUAGGAAUUCUCAAGAGCAGAAUAAAAACUAUGUGUAUAUUUCAGAUUUCUCUCUCUACAAACUGGAGGUCUCCUGCUCAGACAAAGCCCACAGACAAACACACGAGACCUACCCUGAGAAUGGACUGUAUCGUCUGUAGUGGGCAGCAGGGAAAGGGCCAUCUGUAUCCUCGCCUCUCUCCGUUCCUCACUCACCUCCCUGGGAGCUCCUCUCCUCAGCUGCCUCU